CCUCGGACACCCCGUCCCGGCAGCGCUUCCCCCGCCGCCGGGGGGUUUGAGCCGGCGGAGAGCCGAGGCGCUGGGCUGCGGAGCGCUGCCCACCGGGCACGCCGCGCACCCAGCUCGGUUUGACCCGCUGGUCUGCGCGGGCGCCUCGAAGUGUCUGGGCUCCCCAGUUUAGGCUGUGUGAGCUAAGCAGGUAUUAAGGGACAAGCCCUGCCUGUGGAGCUUGAAUGGACAGAAGAAAAGAUAAAAGAAAGGAGAGGCAACCUGAGUUUUGCAAGACCUUGUUUAGGAAGAAUACUUGAGAAAAUUUAAAUGACCUUAAAGAGAAAAAUUAGUUUAAAGCUGAUUAAAAUCUGGAUUUGAACUUUUAACAAUACACACUAAUUUUGUGA